GUUGUUGAAAGUCAGGAUGAUUGUGGAAUAUGCCUAUUUACUCAUGGUGUCCGACAGGAAAAGCUACUCCUAUCAGGAAUUAAGCCAACAUUACGGUGAGAGGAAACCAGGCAGAGCCCAGGGGAAAAGCAACGACCAUCCGCAGGCUGCUGGAAGACCUUCCCAUGUACGGCCAUUAAUAAAUGAAGGUGAAUAGAAUGGGUGCUGCUAUGGAACCUGUAGCACCAGUAUUGCUGACUUGGUGGAUUUAUCAGUUUCCUGGAUGUUCAGCUGGAUGGAUACAUAACGUACCAUGAUUCAGUGCCGGAGAAGACAGUUCAGAGAUUGAGUAACCCAGACACA